rnacentral:rRNA from 1 species
UAGAGUUUGAUCAUGGCUCAGGAUUAACGCUGGCGGCGUGCCUAAUACAUGCAAGUCGAACGGAAGUACCUUCGGGUACUUUAGUGGCGAACGGGUGAGUAAUACAUAGGUAACCUACCCUUAAGACGAGGAUAGCCAUUGGAAACGAUGGAUAAAACUGGAUAGGAUAUAGAGGAAGAAUCUUUUAUAUUUAAAAGAGAGAUCUGCUUAAGGAGGGGCCUGUGGCGCAUUAGCUAGUUGGUGGGGUAAGGGCCUACCAAGGCGAUGAUGCGUAGCCGGACUGAGAGGUUGAACGGCCACAAUGGAACUGAGAACGGUCCAUACUCCUACGGGAGGCAGCAGUAGGGAAUUUUCGGCAAUGGGGGGAACCCUGACCGAGCAACGCCGCGUGAACGAAGAAGUUAUUCGUAAUGUAAAGUUCUUUUAUCAGGGAAGAAAGAGGAAUUUGACGGUACCUGAGGAAUAAGCUCCGGCUAACUACGUGCCAGCAGCCGCGGUAAUACGUAGGGAGCGAGCGUUAUCCGGAAUUAUUGGGCGUAAAGGGUGCGUAGAUGGCAUAGUAAGUCUUUUGUAAAAAUGCUGGGCUCAACCCAGUAGGGCAAAAGAUACUGCAAAGCUAGAGUAUGACAGAGGCAAGUGGAACUACAUGUGUAGCGGUAAAAUGCGUAAAUAUAUGUAAGAACACCAGUGGCGAAGGCGGCUUGCUGGGUCGAUACUGACAUUGAGGCACGAAAGCGUGGGGAGCAAACAGGAUUAGAUACCCUGGUAGUCCACGCCCUAAACGAUGAGUACUAAGUGUUGGUGAGAAUCAGUGCUGAAGUUAACGCAUUAAGUACUCCGCCUGAGUAGUACGUACGCCAGUUUGAAACUUAAAGGAAUUGACGGGAGCCCGCCCAAGC